rnacentral:tRNA from 1 species
UCUAAUGUGGCAGAAAAAUGCGUAGAGUUUAAGCCUCUAAGAUGGUAAACCCUUUAGAA